GUUGAUUAGGAAAAUUAUACUCCGUUAACAGCUCUAUAUAAUUCCAUGUUAAGUGAGUACCAUCUUCGGCAGUAAGUACUAAGUAGAUCAACGACAAUCAAAAUGAAGACUUUAGUGUGCAUUAUUUUGAUCCUAAUAUCGAGGGUACUCGCAAAACCAACUUUAGAGUAUUUGGGCGCUAUCGAAGCUGUGCCGCCUAGUGUUACUCUGUCACAAUUGAGCGAUAGUCGUAUAGAUGGAAAUGGGAUCCAUAUAAAUCAACUCACAAACCCCCUCUUUCAAGUUGUUCUAGACGAAAGCGAUAAUAAAAGGCGAGUUCAACGAUACAGAGACAUAUUUUAAUUUGUAUUAGAAAUGAUAAUAAAUAUGUAACA